GACGAACGCUGGCGGCGUGCUUAACACAUGCAAGUCGUACGGUAAGGCCCUUUCGGGGGUACACGAGUGGCGAACGGGUGAGUAACACGUGAGUAACCUGCCCACAACUUUGGGAUAACGCUAGGAAACUGGUGCUAAUACUGGAUAUGUGCUCCUGCUGCAUGGUGGGGGUUGGAAAGCUCCGGCGGUUGUGGAUGGACUCGCGGCCGAUCAGCUUGUUGGUGGGGUAGUGGCCUACCAAGGCGGCGACGGGUAGCCGGCCUGGGAGGGUGACCGGCCACAUUGGGACUGAGAUACGGCCCAGACUCCGACGGGAGGCAGCAGUGGGGAAGAGUGCACAAUGGGCGCAAGCCUGAUGCAGCAACGCCGCGUGCGGGAUGACGGCCUUGGGGUUGUAAACCGCAUUCAGCAGGGACGAAGCUUUUUGUGACGGUACCUGCAGAAGAAGCACCGGCUAACUACGUG
rnacentral:rRNA from 1 species